GUAGGGGGCAAGCGUUGUCCGGAUUUAUUGGGCGUAAAGAGCGUGUAGGCGGUCAGGGUAAGUCUGACGUGAAAUGUCGAGGGCUCAACCUCGAAAGGUCGUUGGAAACUGCUUGGCUAGAGUCCCGGAAGAGGAGAGUGGAAUUCCUGGUGUAGCGGUGAAAUGCGCAGAUAUCAGGAAGAACACCUAUGGCGAAGGCAGCUCUCUGGGACGGUACUGACGCUGAGACGCGAAAGCGUGGGGAGCGAACAGGAUUAGAUACCCUGGUAGUCCACGCCGUAAACGAUGGGUGCUAGGUGUGGGCGGUGUCGACUCCGUCCGUGCCGAAGCUAACGCAUUAAGCACCCCGCCUGGGGAGUACGGCCGCAAGGCUA
rnacentral:rRNA from 1 species